rnacentral:rRNA from 1 species
CUAUUUGGAUUGUUUAUAACUUAUGUUGUAGACCGAAAAGUUUAGAUUUAAUUUUAAGUAAGUAAGUGCUGUAAGUACGAGUAGUAUGUUAAAACUUAGGAUUGGUUGUGAUAAAUAAGUCGUUAAACUUUAUAUCUGUUUGGGAAAAAGUUUGUUUUUAAAUUUAUUUGGUGAUGAGAUCAAGUAAAUGAAUAUAGCUACAUUAAUGCAUAAAUUAGGAUAAGGUUAAAAUUACCUUUUUAUUAAGCGUAUGUUACAAUUGCUAAAUUUACUUAUUAAGUGUAGCUUAUUGUUAAAAUUUCCCUAAAUUUAAUUAAGUGAAGUUAAUUAUCAAAUAAUAAGUAAUUAUAUUAGUCUCUUUGUUUUUCAUUUACAUCCCGUCUGUUUAUUAAAAACAUUUCCAUAUUAUUAAGUUUAUAUGGUAGGACCUGCUCUAUGUGUUAUAAAUGGCCGCAGUAUCUUGACUGUGCGAAGGUAGCAUAAUUAAUUGCCCUUUAAAUGGGGGCUUGUUUGAAUGGUUUGACGAGGUUGUUUUUAACAUGGAGAUUUUUAUUGAAAUUGAUGAUGUGAAUACAGAAUUUACAUUAUUUAAUUAGACGGAAAGACCCUAGGAUCUUUACAUAUUUUGCUUGGGGCAAGUAAAAAUAAUUUAUUUGUUUUUUGACCCUUUAUAAGUUUAUAGGUUUAAGUUACCCUAGGGAUAACAGAGUGAUAGUUUAUUAGAGUUCUUAUCGAUUAAACUGUUUGCUACCUCGAUGUUGACUUGGGUUAAUGUUCUGGCGCAGUAGUCAGAAGUUUGGUCUGUUCG